ACAGGAUUUUCCUGGGGACAUUGGAGUGAAGCUGGGGUUGGUGGGACCUCUGGGAACCCAUAACAGCUCCUCCAGAGACAUCUUCUGGGGGCUCAGUUGUACCGUGAUAUUAAUACAUAUUUGUACAUAUACAUUUUUUUAGCUAUAGGCAGGGACAGCCUAAAGCACUGAUAUGUCUCUCCCAGAUUGUAAAGCAUGAAGACAGCUGCCUGGAGUGGACUGAGUGACAGCCAGUGUGUUCAGGUCUCUCCUGUGACACCCAGAGUCCUCAGUCCUCUUUAGACAACAGUGUCUGAUGUUCUCUGUGAGCCUCGGGGCUCAAUGUGAAGAACUGUGGAGCCCAGCCUGCCCUGCACACAGGACCCUGUCCCUGCACUGCCCUGUGUUCCCUUCCACAGCCAACCUUCCUGGUCCAGCCACACACUGGGGGACAUCUGCAUCCUGUCAGCUCCAUGCUGCCCUGAGCUGCAGCUCCUCACUUCCACACUGAGAAUGAGAAUCUGAAUAUGAACUUGAUUGUUCACAUCAUGACCUGAGGGUCGAUUGCUUGUUAAUGUCAUUGAUUGAGAAUACAUAAGAGUUUUAUUUGAAGAAAUACAUGGUAGAUGGAGAACCUUCCAGAA